UAUGUCUUACUACCAUGAACAUGCCCAAUCUCAUCUAGUCUCAGAAGAUAAGCAGGGUUGGGCCUGAUUAGUACUUGGAUGGGAGACAAAUCUUCAGAAAAGACUGCUCAGAGACAAGU
rnacentral:rRNA from 1 species